AUGUGAAUUAAAAUUGACCUUAAUGUUUUUAUUCAUUUGUUUGCUAGCUAUGUUUUGAUGUAACUGUUUGGUAAAAAAAGCUUAGAUUUUGGAGGAUGUCUAUUUUUGCUUCAAAAGAGGGUCUUAAUGCGGUGCUUGAGUUGUUAUUUGUUUAUGGAUAGUUUGUCUAGAACAACUGAUGUAACUGUCUUUUUUUUGUUCUCUUAGUUUAGGUUAUCUUUUUGUAUCAAUUUGUCGUUGGAUAUAUUUUGUGGAACUAAUCUUAUUAACUUCCUUUUAGUUUUGGU